rnacentral:rRNA from 1 species
CUACGUGCCAGCAGCCGCGGUAAUACGGAAGGUCCAGGCGUUAUCCGGAUUUAUUGGGUUUAAAGGGAGUGUAGGCGGUUUGUUAAGCGUGUUGUGAAAUUUAGAUGCUCAACAUUUAACUUGCAGCGCGAACUGGCGAACUUGAGUGCACACAACGUAUGCGGAAUUCAUGGUGUAGCGGUGAAAUGCUUAGAUAUCAUGAAGAACUCCGAUUGCGAAGGCAGCAUACGGGAGUGUAACUGACGCUUAAGCUCGAAGGUGCGGGUAUCGAACAGGAUUAGAUACCCUGGUAGUCCGCACAGUAAACGAUGGAUGCCCGCUGUUGGUACCUAGUAUCAGCGGCUAAGCGAAAGCAUUAAGCAUCCCACCUGGGGAGUACGCCGGCAACGGUGAAACUCAAAGGAAUUGACGGGGGCCCGCACAAGCGGUGGAGCAUGUGGUUUAAUUCGAAGCAACGCGAAGAACCUUACCAGGUCUUGACAUCCC